GGUCCGCUGGUGUAACUGGUAGUACGCCUGGUCUAGAGAAUACGCUACUCGGCAAACUAGUCUGGGGGAUCAGGAAACCGCCGGUUCGAAUCCGGCGCGGACCA